rnacentral:hammerhead_ribozyme from 1 species
AGCAGCUGACGAGUCCAAAACUAGGACAAAACGAGCGUCCUGGAU